rnacentral:misc_RNA from 1 species
CAACGGAASCACCUUUUGCCUGGCCCAAACCUUAUGCUUCAAGCUACCACAACAAACAUGGCGGSAASCAGAAUGGGUCCACAAACCCGCCAUGCAUCAACCUUCGGAGCAGCCAUAAAACUAGCGAGGCAGCACAACGGUUAGUAAAAAUAGCAGCCCAUGAGGCUAUCAAAAUGCCCACACCACGUACCACUCUCGUGACCCCUUCGGAAGGGAAACACGAAAGCUAAGCAUCGAGCCAAAAAGGUCGUGGCGGAUCUUUUCCGGACGUGCCAAGCACCUCGCAGAAUUCCUGCCUACGCUCU